GUUGAACGCUGGCGGCAGGCCUAACACAUGCAAGUCGAACGAGUGGCGGACGGGUGAGUAAUGUCUGGGAAACUGCCUGAUGGAGGGGGAUAACCACUGGAAACUGUAGCUAAUACCGCAUACCAUCAGAUGUGCCCCGAUGGGAUUAGCUUGUUGGGGGGGUAACGGGUCACCAAGGCGACGAUCCCUAGCUUGUCUGAGAGGAUGACCAUCCACACUGGAAUUGACACACGGUCCAGACUCCUACGGGAGGCAGCAGUGGGGAAUAUCGCACAAUGGGCGCAAGCCUGAUGCAGCCAUGCCGCGUGUGUGAAGAAGGCCUUCGGGUUGUAAAGUACUUUCAGUGGGGAGGCGUUACCCGCAGAAGAAGCACCGGCUAACUCCGUGCCAGCAGCCGCGGUAAUUC
rnacentral:rRNA from 1 species